rnacentral:rRNA from 1 species
GGGCACCACCAGGGGGUGCUGCUGCGGCUUAUUUGACUCAACACGGGAAAUCUCACCAGGCCCGGACACCGGAAGGAUUGACAGAUUAACAGCUCUUUCUUGAUUCGGUGGGUGGUGGUGCAUGGCCGUUCUUAGUUGGUGGAGCGAUUUGUCUGGUUAAUUCCGGUAACGAACGAGACUCUAGCCUGCUAAAUAGGCGUCGCCAUUUAGGUGUGCUCGACUUCGGUCGUGCAACUCACUGGCGACGUAUUAAAAUUCUUCUUAGAGGGACCGGCGGCUUCGAGCCGCACGAGAUUGAGCAAUAACAGGUCUGUGAUGCCCUUAGAUGUCCUGGGCCGCACGCGCGCUACAGGAAAGGAAUCG